CUCAACUGGAACGCAACGAGCAGCACAACGUUUUCGAGGACAGUUUGUUCAAAAUUGAAGAAAACGUGUUGCAUUGUGUCGUUACUCAACGCGCAGGGCUCAAGUUUUGAAGAGGGGGGGGGGAGGGGGAGGACUGAACGCUACGGCUGACCGGGCGUGGACACUACGUGCAGCGGUUACGGUUACAGACACCGUCGGGAAGGUUGGAGGGGAGCCAGCGCGGACUUUUUUUUCAGCAUCUGGAUGUUGAGCUGGUUGCAGAUCAAGCAUCCUCCUCUGUAUUGACAUCGCUGUCCCCAACUUCAUCCCAUUCAUCCUUGGUAGUGGCACAGACUGCACUAUCCCCAGCUUUAUCCCAUUCAUCUGAUUCCACCGUUAUUCUGGAGUCCACAAGAAAAAGGAGGAACCCAACAGGGUUAAUGGACCAGAAUGAAGCAAAACAGAUGGUUGAGGGUGUUCUGAGGGCCAAUCCAAAGGGUGAAGAAGUCUUCAAUGAGUAUGACAAGACUAAAACACUAACUGAUGCGACCCGUAAACAAAUGGUGAACAUCCUGGUUGCAGAUAUGGUAGAGCUACAUGGGAGGGUUCCACCGUCAAGUGUAAGGACCAAUUAUGCACUGGGAAUUGUGACUCUUUUUCCAUACCUCCGUGAUCCAUUCUCCAAACUUGGAUAUGUAAGUUAUAUCUGAAAACCAAAUCAGUGUGAUUUCAAUAUCUUCUUCACUUUUCUAGUUUGUACUCAUCUUGUUUCAGAUGAGUUUUUGUAGGUUGCUCACCCUUGCAUUUUCAACCUGUUUUUUAAAAUGUUUUGCAGUCUAUUCACUGUCUACAAUUUUUGUG
ensembl:lncRNA